ACCUUUGUGGUGUAAUAGUCAGCACGCUCGGCUCGUAUUCGAGAGGUACGAGGAUCGAGUCUCGGCGAGGGCA
rnacentral:tRNA from 1 species